UACCGCACAUGCCAAAAGAAACUCAUAAAAGUACUCUCAAAAUAACACUGAGGAAUCACACUUUAUUCAAGUUGAAGUUGCUUCUUGCUUCUGGUAUUUGAAGCUGGGCUGGAUGGGCUGGGUACUACAACUGGAGCCCUCCUUGGUGGCACCCAAUGUCACGAAGAAGAGGUGCAGGGUACACCACUUGGACAGGAAGAGGGUCAUUGGAUCCAGUUCCAGAUCUUGUAUACAAAGUAAGAAACAUGUAUCGGUGAGGUGAUUGUAAAGGACAAAGUAGUGAAAAGCAAGAACAGAUUAAGCCCACACCUGGUA